AGAGUUUGAUCCUGGCUCAGGAUGAACGCUGGCGGCGUGCUUAACACAUGCAAGUCGAGCGGAAAUAUGUAAUCGGAGAGCUUCGGCAGGAAGAUUACAUAUUUUAGCGGCGGACGGGCGAGUAACGUGUGGGCAACCUGCCCUGUACUGUGGAAUAAUCACUGGAAACGGUGACUAAUACCGCAUGUCAUUGCGAGAGGGCAUCCUCUUGCAAGAAAAGGAUUUAUUCGGUACAGGAUGGGCCCGCAUCUGAUUAGCUAGUUGGUGAGAUAACAGCCCACCAAGGCAACGAUCAGUAGCCGACCUGAGAGGGUGAUCGGCCACAUUGGGACUGAGACACGGCCCAAA
rnacentral:rRNA from 1 species